rnacentral:rRNA from 1 species
UACAGAGGGGGGCUAGCGUCGUUCGGAAUUACUGGGCGUAAAGGGCGCGUAGGUGGCCUGUUAAGUCGAACGUGAAAUCCCCGGGCUCAACCCGGGAACUGCGUCCGAGACUGGCAGGCUCGAAUCCGGGAGAGGGAUGUGGAAUUCCAGGUGUAGCGGUGAAAUGCGUAGAUAUCUGGAGGAACACCGGUGGCGAAGGCGGCAUCCUGGACCGGUAUUGACGCUGAGGCGCGAAAGCCAGGGGAGCAAACGGG